rnacentral:rRNA from 1 species
CGAGAAAGCCCGCAAGGGUGAGUAAAGCGGCGCACGGGUGCGUAACACGUGGGUAAUCUGCCCUAGAGUCCGGAAUAACUCGCCGAAAGGCGUGCUAACGCCGGAUGAGACCACGGGAGCUUCGGCUCCUGCGGGAAAAGGUGGCCUCUGUACACAAGCUAUCGCUCUAGGAUGAGCCCGCGGCCCAUCAGCUCGUUGGCGGGGUAAUGGCCCACCAAGGCUACGACGGGUAGCUGGUCUGAGAGGACGAUCAGCCACACUGGAACUGAGACACGGUCCAGACUCCUACGGGAGGCAGCAGUGGGGAAUCUUGCGCAAUGGGCGAAAGCCUGACGCAGUAACGCCGCGUGUGUGAUGAAGGUCUUCGGAUCGUAAAGCACUGUCGCGAGGGACG